GCAUCGGUGGUUCAGUGGUACAAUGCUCGCCUGGUACGCGGGCGGCCCGGGUUCGAUUCCCGGCCGAUGCA
rnacentral:tRNA from 1 species